rnacentral:ncRNA from 1 species
CCUGUAGAGCGCCGCGUCUCGGGCGGCGUCCGGUGCGCUCUCGGCGGCCCUGGAAAAUCCGGGUCCGUAACGAUUCGCAGCUCUCGAGUCGGUCCGUACCCACCAUCCGCAGCAGGUCUCCAAGGUGUACAGCCUCUCGUCGAUAGCGCCAAUAUAGGUAAGGGAAGUCGGCAAAAUGGAUCCGUACUUUCGGAAGAAGGAUUGGCUCCAAGGACCGGGUCGGUCGGGCCGUGUGUGUCGCCGCGCUCCGCGCGACUGCGAUUAGAGAGCUUACGUUCGUGGUCGGAGCUUUGUCGGAGGUGCCCAUGCAGUCGCAUCAGUUAGGCGCAGGUUCGCGUCAACUGCACAGAGGGUCGUAUCGACUUUUUGUAAUUUGUGUUUGCUAUGCGAGAGGGGGACCGUGUUUGGCUAUAGGGGAGU